GGCCUCUUGCAACCCACAAAUAAGAGGUCCAACCUGCCCAGUGACAAUAAGUUUAACGGCCGCGGUAUUUUAACCGUGCUAAGGUAGCGUAAUCACUUGUCUUUUAAAUGAAGACCCGUAUGAAAGGUGUCACGAGGGCCCUCCUGUCUCCUACUUCAAGUCUGUGAAAUUGAUCUGCCCGUGCAGAAGCGGGCAUAACAACAUAAGACGAGAAGACCCUGUGGAGCUUAAGACCAAUCAAUCAACCGUGCCCAACAGCCAACCACCCUAACAGGAAAUAAAAAGCUAAACAAGCAUAACGACUUAUGAUUAAAUGUCUUCGGUUGGGGCGACCAUGGAGGACAGAAAAGCCUCCAAGAGGAAGCAGGGGACCAGUUUAAUUGAUCCCUAAGAGCUAAGAGCCACCACUCUAAGCAACAGAAAAAUCUGACCAAUAAUGAUCCAGACACUAGCCUGAUCAACGAACCAAGUUACCCCAGGGAUAACAGCGCAAUCCUUUCUCAGAGCCCAUAUCGCCGAAAGGGUUUACGACCUCGAUGUUGGAUCAGGACAUCCUGGUGGCGAAAAUUCUACCAAGGGUUCGUUUGUUCAACGAUUAAAGUCCU
rnacentral:rRNA from 1 species